rnacentral:rRNA from 1 species
GAUGAACGCUGGCGGCGUGCCUAAUACAUGCAAGUCGAGCGAACAGACGAGGAGCUUGCUCCUCUGACGUUAGCGGCGGACGGGUGAGUAACACGUGGAUAACCUACCUAUAAGACUGGGAUAACUUCGGGAAACCGGAGCUAAUACCGGAUAAUAUAUUGAACCGCAUGGUUCCAUAGUGAAAGACGGUUUUGCUGUCACUUAUAGAUGGAUCCGCGCCGCAUUAGCUAGUUGGUAAGGUAACGGCUUACCAAGGCAACGAUGCGUAGCCGACCUGAGAGGGUGAUCGGCCACACUGGAACUGAGACACGGUCCAGACUCCUACGGGAGGCAGCAGUAGGGAAUCUUCCGCAAUGGGCGGAAGCCUGACGGAGCAACGCCGCGUGAGUGAUGAAGUUCUUCGGAUCUUAAAACUCUGUUAUUAGGGAAGAACAAAUGUGUAAGUAACUAUGCACGUCUUGACGGUACCUAAUCAGAAAGCCACGGCUAACUACGUG